AUCUCUAUGAUUGUUUUCUCAGUUUUUUUCUUUUCAAACAUCUCUUCUCCAGUCUAUAUCAAGUGCUCAUAUCCAUGGUGAUACUACAUAUGCACACAAACAAAAUACUUAGCGUCACAAUAAUUUUGAUAUAUCGUAAACAAUGAAGAAAGUGCUCCACGAAAGAUUAAAGUCUUCAUUUGAUUGGAUACAAUUUGCGGGCAUUCGACCAAUAAUGAACCAAUUCUAGCCAGAUUUAGACAAUCCAUGAUACAUAACCUUUUAGUUUUAGUUACUCCGGGACCUAAAAAUGAUGUCAUUCACUAGAAAACCCUAGUGGACUCCAAGCAGUGCUGAUGAUGCAACAAGCGAGCUAGAUGAGAUGGAACAUCUAGCACAGAUUCUGAAUCUAUUUGAACCAACAAGACGUGAAGCUUCACGCCAUGUAGCUAGAGAAUUACUGAACCCCACACAAUUGCUUGAUAUAUUCAUGAACAAGAUAGUAUAAUGCUAUACAGGUGAAGCUUCGCGACAUAUAACAUUAUACUUACCAUGUUCAUAAUAUAUCAAGCAACUGUCUAGGGUUCAGUAAAUCUCUGGCUACAUAGCGUAAAUUUUCACGUGUAUAGGCUAAUCUUGUUGGUUCAAAUAGAUUUGGAAUCUGUGCUAGGUAUUCCAUCUCAUCUAGCUCGCUAGUUGCACCAUCAGCACAACCUGGAGUCGACAAGAGUUUUCUAGUGAAUGACAUCACUUUUAACUCCUCCGUAGCUGAAACUACAAGGUUCUGUAUCAUAGACUGUCUAAACCUGACUGGAGUUGGUUCAUUAUUGGCCGAGUCGAGGACAGCUCCUAAAGUAGUAAUACGAGUGACUGCAUCCCCUAGACACUUGGAGAAAGACAACAUAUAUCAAUUGGGAGAUUGAGACUGAAGUAACAUCACAAUGAUUUUAAUUAUCUUUCUUUCAUCUUCUUAAUUUUAUUGUUGUGUUAAUCUUUGAGAUGUUGAACUAAUUGUUAU